GGGGUCGUGGUCCAGCUUGGUCUAAGAUACGCGGCUCGGGCCCGCGAGAUCCCCGGUUCAAAUCCGGGCGACCCCACCA
rnacentral:tRNA from 1 species